AACGCAUCUUGCGCUCCUUGGUAUUCCGAGGAGCAUGCCUGUUUGAGUGUCGUGAACCUUCUCAACCCUUCCCUUCUUUUAGGGCUCUCGGGUUGGAUUUGGACGCUUGCCGUGGGUUUCGACCUUUCGGCUCGUCUUGAAAUGCAUCAGCUGGUCCGCCGCGCGAGUUUGGUAUUAACAACGGUGUGAUAAGAAACGCUUCGUGACUGUAGCGCCGUUUCGCCGACUCGUUGGAGGGGCUGCUUCCAACCGUCUUAGGACAAACCUUUCACUUCAUCUGACCUCAAAUCAGGUAGGACUACCCGCUGAACUUAA
rnacentral:misc_RNA from 1 species